UUUUUGCAACGGCCCAGCUUUAGCAAUGUCUCGCUACGCCAUCCUGUGCCUCACGCUCCUACUGACCUUCACCGCGACCAACUGCCUUCUAACUCGAGAAAAACUCGUCGCUACUUCGGAACACGUAGUCGAGUAUCUGGAGCGAGGUAUCAACAGCGACGAUGGCACUGAAGAGCUGAAGUCCGCCAUGGCUCGGCCUCAAAGUGUCUUUGAAGCAGAUCCUCGAGAAAUUUCCGUUCCUCAUACAGAUAGCCGACAGAUUGGCCAAAAUCGAUCAACAAAUUUGGUACGUCGAAAAUGCUUACAAUUACCUGACGGAGUUCUUGAAAAAAGUUUACGGCUACAAGCUCUACGAGGUCAAGUAUGCAGCCAGGGCAUUCUUGGACAUUGGCAGUUCGGUGGAAAAAAUAUUCAAUGAGGUUGCCGUGGAAAAGCCACCAAAGAAACCUAGCGUUUUCAGCGUCUCAGCUACGAAUUUGAUGAGCCAACAUUAUAUAUGCCAAGUUUUUGUUCACAAAGAAGAAUAAAUUUAAUUCAUUUAAUGCGAUUGCAGGACCCCAGAAAAUCGUGCAUAUCGGAAAAAUCAUCGGAACUUAUCAUCGAUGGGUUGUUUGAACUCGGAAUUCCAUCAAAAUAUUAGAACGUCUCAAUCAAGGCGUCGACAGAGACCAAUUGGUUACGACUUCAAAAGAAGAUUACUAAAAGUAUGGGAGAAAGCUAAUGCUACCCUUCAAAAUAUUGCAAACAACGAAAAAGACAAAUGCACGCAA